AUUGAACGCUGGCGGCAUGCUUUACACAUGCAAGUCGAACGGCAGCACGGGGGCAACCCUGGUGGCGAGUGGCGGACGGGUGAGUAAUGCAUGGGAAUCUGCCUGUUAGUGGGGGACAACCCGGGGAAACUCGGGCUAAUACCGCAUACGCCCUACGGGGGAAAGAGGGGACCGCAAGGCCUCUUGCUAACAGAUGAGCCCAUGUCGGAUUAGCUAGUUGGUAGGUAAAGGCCUACCAAGGCGACGAUCCGUAGCUGGUCUGAGAGGACGAUCAGCCACACUGGGACUGAGACACGGCCCAGACUCCUACGGGAGGCAG
rnacentral:rRNA from 1 species